AAGCUCACUCUUGCGUAUUUUGCUACAAAAUUCCUCUCUGCAGUGAGACUUGGGUAGGGCUCCUCUUACUCAGGAAUUCAGUUCAAAGCAGUUUAUUAAUCCCUCCAGGCUUCACUGGCAGAAGAGAGAAUUAUUGACUCUGUGGCACCAGCAAAGUAGCCAGAAUCUAUAUUUUGUUUAAAUCAGAAACAGUUAUUCUUCAGCAGUGCCUUAUUGUAUCAGAAGGAUUGCACGACCUUUGGUGAAUUAUGUUGCGCCGCAGUGGGGAGCGGCAGAAAUCACCGUGCGAGAGCUGGAGGUGCAUGCCAGCUGCUGAGCUGGGGAGAGCUGCCCAGGAACAGCUACCAGGAGGCUGCCUUAGAAUGGUCUUUUUUAGUAUUUGCACCAUACUUUCGAGGAUCACCGUCCGUGUCCAUCGGUUCUGGAACUGCCCGCGGGCAGCGGCAAACCUCGGUGCAGUUGCAGAGGUGGGCUGCUGGCUCCGGCUGCUUAAUGCGAGGGGGCUGGAGGCGUCCUGAGCCUCCCCUUCCCCCCGGCCCCGCGCGGCCCCGCUGCCCCCCGUCCUGUCACACGGGCAGUUUCCGCGCUGCCGGUGCUCAGGAGCCCGGUGCGAGAGUGGCACCACCAGCACCCGGCCAAACCGCCCGCCCGGGCAAAAUGGGCGCCGAAGCCCCUUCCAGCGCAAUCGCGACGGGUUCGUUACGUUACAAGGACUGGAGGGCCGGAGGUCUGAUGCCAGCACGGCUUUUGGCACCCGAGGGUAAUUUGUGGUGAUGCAGCUGCGAGAUGCUAAAGUCCUUACGGGGAUCGUAAUUCGCGCUGGAAGCACUGGGGCCUCGCUGCGGGCGUGGAGGGUGGCGGAGGUCGGUGUGGAGCUCCGCAGCAAGUGAACCCUGGGACGGGAGCUGGUAUAAAAUACAGCAAAAUGGUAGCACUAACCCCAUGAAUCUUCCUUCCUCCCCCACAAGGCCACUUCUUAUAUGUAGUGUGAUUAAAAAUGGGCAGAAUCUUUUAAUUUUGUGUGUCCCUGUUCCUUCCUCCACAGCAGAGCGGAGCACCAGGGGAGCCUGGGAGGAGCCAGCCAGCGGGGACCUCUUCGAUAUCUGCUGCAACAGGGCAAUCCGUAGGCGUGUGCGUGGCUUCUUGUAACUCCCCGACUGCCUCUGUAGUUCCCGCAGCAAAGGAACACCGAGAAAGCAGCAAGCUCGACCCUGUUGCUGCUGCUGCCCGUCCCACCCGCGGUGCCCGGGCUCCAGCUCGGCGCAGGCUGACCCCGGCGGGGCUGGGCAGCGGGCGCAGCCUCCCCGCAGACCACCGGCGGGGCCGCCUGUGUGCCGGGGUCUGCGGUGCCCCCCGCUGCCCCCGCCUGCGGCAGAGCUGUGGCAGGGAAGCGCAGCGGCCUGUGCCGCGGGUGCCCCGGCCGGGUACCCCAGCGCCGCUGAAAGCCGCGAUGAGGUGGACUGGGCGGAGGAUUCCAGGUCACGGCUGAAACGAGCUACCCCAGCACCCAAGAGCAGGGUUCCUGCUGGGGGCAAAGACGGUCAGAAUUAGAAAGCGGGAGCUGGAGCUCAGACCGGCUGAAACCGGGCUCAAGCCGGAACCCGGCCGGUGAGACGGAGGGCAAAGCUCCCGUCCCCAGCGUCCGCGCCAGUAACAUGGCUGUAACAUUUCAUUACAAUGUCCUGGGCUCAGUGCAGAAAGACGACGACAAAAUUCCCUGGUCUGUUACGUAGGGGAGCAAGUCUUCACCGGCCCGACCACCGCGAGGCACGUCGUGCGCCAGCCCUCGGAGUGGUUUCUGGCCCGCUCACAACUUCCCAUCUGAGGCAGGUGCGAAGCGAUCAGCUCGUGCAAGCUCCCACUGACCUCACUGGUACAAAUCCCAGUGAUUUCUAUCAGAAGAAAACCUGGUGAGAAUGGAGUGAAGCCCUGCGGGGAUUUGGCCGCAGCCAACGCGGCUGACGCUGAACGCCAGUCCCAGGAGGGGCGGGGGACCCUCGGAAGCAGCAGGGAACCGCUGGCCGUACCUUUUCGGCGCUGUUGCGGGACGUGUCUGGUUUCACCAGGAUGGACGGCGGGGCUGAUGCGGGUGGCUUUGGAGCGGCCUCGCUCUUUGCUGGAGGGUCUUUGGCAUCCAGGAUCACCGAGCUGCACACAGAGGGAGUUCUGCUUUCCCCUCCUCUGACCACAAGUGCCGGCGAAGCAUCGUGGGAGAAGUUUGGCCUUGUUCCUGCCUCGGCCAUGCCAGCUCCAGCAGGGACGCUGUGCGGCUGGGGGCUGACGUGCUGAUAAAGCUGAAACUGCUGAGGCCGCACCGCAGCCGUGGGAGGACGCCUGAGGGAGCCGGCAACCUGCACGGGGGUCCCUGCCUGCCCCGGCCUCUGCAGGGAUCCGUCUGGGGGGAGAGAGCCGUUGGAAGGAGAGCCACCACAGGGAAUGAGUCCUUUACAGUAAAACAACUCUUAAGAAAAAUCCAAUUUCGAGUCUAAAAUCAGACAAUGGCCCUUGCAGACGCGCCUCCGCCCUGCCAGGGGCACCGCCUGGCUCCAGCAGCAGCUCUGCCUGCAAGCCUGGGAGAACACACCGCUUAGCUGCCCGAAUACGCUUGGAAAUGUGUUCCUGUGCAGCACGUGCGGGCUGGAGAUAAACCCUGCCAGCCUCCUGGGAAAGAAUAUAACAAACUGAGCUCCGCAUAAGACUUCGCAAAGAGUUUUUCUGUGCUGAGUCAAAAUGCCUAAAAAUGACCAAAAUAACCACAGCUGGGGAAAGCCAGUGGUGCGGGACCCUGCCAGCCCUGUUCUCUGAGGCUCCCUCUCCCUGCCCUCCGUCCCUGGGAGGGGUACGUCCUACAGCCCCGGGCAAGUGCAAGUGAGAAGCAUGUAUUGGAUCUUUGCGGAGGAGGAGAAGAAAAACAGAGCUGAUAUGGAGGCUUUUCCCCUCUGGCUCUCUGCUACAUCGAGGCUUUUGACUUCCUCACUUCACUGGAACAAUCGCUUGAAAGUUUGACUUGCAACGCGUCUCUGUGGAGUUACGUCUCCUCCCGCUCUCGCACAGACCAGCUGUGGUAAGUCCCUGUGACCCCCUGCUCCCACCAGCCACGGACGCGCCUGCGUGGAUCUGCAUUUGGAUCGAACACGCGGGAGCUGCGUUUGGGUCUGCCUUUACCGCCCGGCUCACGAGGACCCUCGGCUGGAGAAGCCUCAGGCGAAGGAAGGAAGAGGAGUUUGGGAAAACAGCAUUUCAAGCCCAGACUUUGCUAACCAGGAGGAGACCGUUGCGUCUGCCAGAUGAUCUGUGAAGAUUCUGUAUUGAGAUCUUUAGUGAGACUGUGAAGAAGGAAUGAGACUCUUUUGCCUCCUAAAAUGAAGAGCGGAUAUAGUCCAAAAGUUCCUCCCCUUAGUCAGAAACCGCAGCUGGCUCCUGGCUGUUUGAUUCCCCUUGCCCUCUGCCAGCCACCCCACAUCCAGCUCCAGCUCCCUGGGGACCCCUGGCCUGGACCACAGCCGCUGCCGCCUCUCCCCACCCGUGAGAGCGAGGGGAGCCUCGCGUCCGUGCUGCCAGCUGGACGGAGAAAGAGGUGACUUCUCUGUGAGGACACUGACGGCUCCGGGCAGCGCGCUCUGCUCGGCUCUGCCAUGCCUACCGCAUUUCGGCACUACAGGGACAGCUGGCUUUGCUGGGAGGUGCAGUUACUGAAAAGAGCGUGUCUCUAAGAGAGCAAACACAGGCUCUGUAGCCUGUGGGGAAUAAAGGGAAACAGCAGAAGUUCGGGUAUUGCUGUGCAAAUGCAUGCCUCCAGUAGGCUGGGUACGUUCAACCUGCAUAAAUGAUGUGCCCCCAGACCUGGAAGCAAUUUUCUUUACUAUGUCAGCAGGUGGCUUUUAGACAUCUUGGAGUGUUUUGGUCCUCAAAGCAGACUACCACCGUCAGCCACAGCUCAUCAGCAACAGCAGCACGGGCGAGAAGCUGAGCCGAGGGACUGCGCUGGCUGCUCGCGGCGGGCGCUUGCACCCCUCCCUGGACGCCCCUCGUCCUGCACGUACCCGUGUGCGCCCGUGGGGCAGGGGUGGGGGUUCAACCGCUGGCGGCGGUGCCUGAGGGGGCUUGGGAACCUUCCUGAUUUCCAGAAGGGAGCUCCUAUGGAGCUGGGGAGUAGCAGAACGCCAUACGGUCUGAGGAGGAAAACAGCCCAGCCCGUGUCGCCCAGCACCUGGCUGCUGCAGGGUGGUCUUACCUUGUGAAACGUCAGGCAGCCCUUGUUUUCGGUCUUGUCCCUGCUCCUCAGGUCAAAGCUGCAGAGUGCUCUGCCGAGGGGCGGCGGCAGGGGCAGGUGCUUGAUGACCUGCACGGAGCUGGCUGGGAAAACGCCGCUGAUCCCGUUGACCUCCCCCAAAUACCAGUUCUCAUCCAGCUGUCGGAGCAGCACGAUGAUAUCCCCCUUAUUGAACCUCAGCUCUCCGGGGUUGUGCCCUCGACCGGCCGGGGGUUGCCGCCAUCGUCCAGCUGACCCGGCGGCUGUCACCUGCAGCGGCCAACAGUGCACGUCCGGGACAACGCAACGAGAGCAAGUGUCAUGCACAGUGGAGUCCUGGUGCUAAAUGGAGUUUGGAUGCCUGAAAAUUAAUAACAACAGAACAAAGUCCAGCAUUAAAGAGCAAGCACCGCAGUCCUCCUUGUAAGAAGGGAAGAGGAGAAGUAAAGACAGCAAGAGAAGGUUUAGACGGCAGCCGUGAAUGGGUCUUCAACCUGCCAAGGUCCAGCCUCACCUCUCUCAGGAUGUUUUUUAGCUCCAGCCCUGGCGCCGUGGCAGAGCUGCACAUGAACGUGCUUCCUCCUUUCCCUCCCCCCCGGACGGGAAAAUUACAAACUCGGGCCAAUGACCAGCUUUGUGGACCUGGGGACGGUGGCCAGCCACCAGCAGGGAAACUCUGCAACAAGAGGAAGCCUCUCAGACUUUCAGCCUCCUCGCUGACCACGAUACUUAAGGGGUGAACACACACGCACGCUGAGAAACCCUGCUGUUCUAUUCCUGACUUGCCAUCUGAGCCUGACUCAUUGCCUUGGAACCAAUACCGGAGCCGGAUGGGAAUUGCCAUGCCCGUUGCCAUUCGCCCUACAAGGAGCCUUGCUCAUCCUUUGAGAGUGCAGAGAGGAGUUUGCCAGAAAAUGGAACGGACUCGAACAGUCAUAAGCUUUCUGUAGGGAACCUGGCAUAACCCUCUCCCCUGCCUCUGAGGCUGUGGUUCUGCCUUACGCCCCCCUCCAACAGAAGCGGAUUAAUGGCUCAGU